rnacentral:rRNA from 1 species
AACGAACGCUGGCGGCAGGCUUAACACAUGCAAGUCGAACGCCCCGCAAGGGGAGUGGCAGACGGGUGAGUAACGCGUGGGAAUCUACCCAGAUCUUCGGAACAACUGAGGGAAACUUCAGCUAAUACCGGAUACGCCCUACGGGGGAAAGAUUUAUCGGUUCUGGAUGAGCCCGCGUUGGAUUAGCUAGUUGGUGAGGUAACGGCUCACCAAGGCGACGAUCCAUAGCUGGUCUGAGAGGAUGAUCAGCCACACUGGGACUGAGACACGGCCCAGACUCCUACGGGAGGCAGCAGUGGGGAAUAUUGGACAAUGGGCGAAAGCCUGAUCCAGCCAUGCCGCGUGAGUGAUGAAGGCCUUAGGGUUGUAAAGCUCUUUCAGUGGGGAAGAUAAUGACGGUACCCACAGAAGAAGCCCCGGCUAACUUCGUGCCAGCCGCCGCGGUAA